CCUACGGGUGGCAGCAGUGAGGAAUAUUGGUCAAUGGACGAGAGUCUGAACCAGCCAAGUAGCGUGAAGGAUGACUGCCCUAUGGGUUGUAAACUUCUUUUAUAAAGGAAUAAAACGAGGCACGUGUGCCUUUUUGCAUGUACUUUAUGAAUAAGGAUCGGCUAACUCCGUGCCAGCAGCCGCGGUAAUACGGAGGAUCCGAGCGUUAUCCGGAUUUAUUGGGUUUAAAGGGAGCGUAGUUGGGUUAAUAAGUCAGUUGUGAAAGUUUGCGGCUCAACCGGAAAAUUGCAAUUGAUACUGGUGGUCUUGAGUACAGAUGAGGUAAGCGGAAUUCGAUGUGUAGCGGUGGAAUGCUUAGAUAUCACGAAGAACCCCGAUUGCGAAGGCAGCUUUCUAAUCUGUAACUGACAUUGAGGCUCGAAAGCAUGGGUAGCGAACAGGAUUAGAUACCCUGGUAGUC
rnacentral:rRNA from 1 species